AAGAGAAGGAAAGAAUAUGAAUUAUCUAGAAAUUAACUUGGCCAACCAUGUCAGAGAAUUCUCACUAAAGGAGGUGUUUAUUUCUUGGAUAAAUGGGAGAUGUGUUUGUGAAAGAAGAGCAACAGCCUCUGACUUCCAUUUUUGACAUCCUGAUGCUGACCUUGAAGAUGGAAGACGCCAUGAACAAGGACCAGAGAGCCGUUUCUAGGAGCUAAGAACAACUCCCGGCCAAAGGCCAGCAAGGAAACAGGGAUCUCGGUCCCACAGCCAUAGGAAACUGUGUACUGCUAACAACCUGAGUGAGCUUGGAAGGGAUUCUUCUCCAGAGCCUCCAGAGAAGAGCUCCAUCUGGCUGAUACCCUGUGAGGCCCCAAGCAAAGAACCCCAUCAAACUUGCCUACACUUCUCACCUACAGGUCUAUAACUAACACAUGGAUGUUGUUACGCCUCUGAGUUUGCUAUGCUGCAAUAGAAAACGAAUACACGUUAUCUUACUUAAUCCUCACGACCUUCCAAAAUGGAGGGUGUCCCCAUUAUAUGGAUGACGGAACAGGUCAAUGAGG
rnacentral:lncRNA from 1 species